rnacentral:rRNA from 1 species
AGUGAACGCUGGCGGCGUGCCUAAUACAUGCAAGUCGAACGGAGUGGCGCACGGGUGAGUAAUAUAUAGCUAAUCUGCCCCUUGCUGGAGGACAACAGUUAGAAAUGACUGCUAAUACUCCAUAGCAAGGGAUGAGACUAUAUCGUAUCAGCUAGUCGGUGGGGUAACGGCCUACCGAGGCUAUGACGCGUAACUGGUCUGAGAGGAUGAUCAGCAAACUCGGAACUGAGACACGGUCCAAAAUCCUACGGGAGGGAGCAGUAGGGAAUAUUGCGCAAGGGGGGAAACUCUGAAGCAGCAUCGCGGCGUGGAGUAUGACACUUGUCGGAGCGUAAACUCCUUUUGUUAGGGAAGCGGUACCUAACGAAUAAGCACCGGCUAACUCCGUGCCAGCAGCCGCGGUAAUAC